AACGCAUCUUGCGCUCCUUGGUAUUCCGAGGAGCAUGCCUGUUUGAGUGUCAUUCAAGUAUCUCAAAAGACCUUAUGCAGUAUGCAGGGAACUUUUGGACAUUGGGAGUUGCUGGUCACUGAUAAAAGUGGUUGGCUCUUCUGAAAAGCAUUAGUUGAGGAGCUUUUUGUGCUCUAUUGGUGUGAUAGAGUGAUCUAUGCCAGGAGAAGCAUUAAUGAAGCCUCUGCUGUCUAACAGUUGUAAUUGGACAAUAUGAUAAAAUUUGACCUCAAAUCAGGUAGGACUACCCGCUGAACUUAA
rnacentral:misc_RNA from 1 species